rnacentral:rRNA from 1 species
AGCGAACGCUGGCGGCAGGCCUAACACAUGCAAGUCGAACGAACUCUUCGGAGUUAGUGGCGGACGGGUGAGUAACACGUGGGAACGUGCCUUUAGGUUCGGAAUAACUCAGGGAAACUUGUGCUAAUACCGAAUGUGCCCUUCGGGGGAAAGAUUUAUCGCCUUUAGAGCGGCCCGCGUCUGAUUAGCUAGUUGGUGAGGUAAAGGCUCACCAAGGCGACGAUCAGUAGCUGGUCUGAGAGGAUGAUCAGCCACAUUGGGACUGAGACACGGCCCAAACUCCUACGGGAGGCAGCAGUGGGGAAUCAUGCGCAAUGGGCGAAAGCCUGACGCAGCCAUGCCGCGUGAAUGAUGAAGGUCUUAGGAUUGUAAAAUUCUUUCACCGGGGACGAUAAUGACGGUACCCGGAGAAGAAGCCCCAGCUAACUUCGUG